rnacentral:tRNA from 1 species
GAUGUAGCUCAGUGGUAAAGCACUAGCCUAGUAGGUCUGAGGUCCUGGGUUCAAUCCCCAGUGCAUCA